UGGGGAAUCUUGGACAAUGGGCGCAAGCCUGAUCCAGCCAUGCCGCGUGAGUGACGAAGGCCUUAGGGUUGUAAAGCUCUUUCGUCGGGGACGAUAAUGACGGUACCCGAAGAAGAAGCUCCGGCUAACUUCGUGCCAGCAGCCGCGGUAAUACGAAGGGAGCUAGCGUUGUUCGGAAUCACUGGGCGUAAAGCGCACGUAGGCGGAUAGUUAAGUCAGGGGUGAAAUCCUGGGGCUCAACCCCAGAACUGCCUUUGAUACUGGCUGUCUCGAGGUCGAGAGAGGUUGGUGGAAUUCCUAGUGUAGAGGUGAAAUUCGUAGAUAUUCGGAAGAACACCAGUGGCGAAGGCGGCUCACUGGACUGGUAUUGACGCUGAGGUGCGAAAGCGUGGGGAGCAAACAGGAUUAGAUACCCUAGUAGUCCCUGAGCGGGCUGGCAAGGCGCAU
rnacentral:rRNA from 1 species